GUUGUUUUAGGUUUUUUUGGAAAUAAAUUGUGUCUGCUUGCUGAAUUUCCCUUUGUGUAAUGCAUGUUUAAUAACACGCCCGCACAAAUCCUUUUUGGGAUUGAGAACUGUGUGGGGAGUAAUUUUGUUUUUGUAUGAGAGUAUUGAAUGUCCUUACUAGUGAGAAUGGUAUUUGGUAAGGUUUUACAUAUUUGUUUGUGGUUCCUUUUCUCGGAUAACCAAAGGAGUUUUGAUUUCUUCAAUUUUGGUUGUUCUUGGAAGUUUCACUGUUGAUUGUAUUUCUAAUUUAUGUCUUAAUUAGAGAUUUUUUUUUUUUUUGAAAGAUAUGAUAUCUUUUACUUAAAUUCACACCAGUCAUUAAAAAAAUUAAUAUUCCAAUGAUAAAAGAUUUAUUUUGUGAAUUAGUUGAUGAUUUAGACUAUGCUAAUGGAAUUUCUAAGCGUAAUUUAAUUUAUUUGCUAGGUUUUUAUAAGUUUCUACCUAGUCAAGUUCAAUUAUUAAAGUUGAUUAGGAAUCUUAAAGCGUAUACUAUUUGUAGCACAUCCGACGGGUGUAUGAAUAGGCCUGAAUUGGCACAACAAGCUUAGAUGGGCUUAGAAAGUCUCAAAAUGUUUAUGCAACUUGGACUGGCUAAACUGGAGCCUAAAUUGUCUUAACUGUCUUAAAAGAUUUUUGCUGACAUGCCCUUUUAUGCUUGUAUAAGUAAAACCUUCUAAUAUUUUCCAAAUUACCUUGACCAAUAUUGUCCUUAUUUUGGAUUGUUCCUGUUAGAAUGAUGAAGAGCUCUGUAUUUUCAUUUGGCAGCAAGGAUGUCUGAUUUCAUUAAAUCUAGGGUAACUUCUUAGAAAAGUUUUGCACCGAGCCAUUGCAGAAAGCUCCAUAUCAUCGCCACUUGAAUGGUUGACACCUCCUCGAACCUCCAUCUAACUUUGAUAUGGGAUUUUUAUAGUUAUUCCAAAAUAUAUAUUUGGUGAAUUAUAUUUUUUAUGAUUUUUCGUUGAAUGGCAGUUUUGAAACCUUGCUGUUAGUUUGUUAAGUAAACUGGAACUCAGCGUGAAUUGAAUAGCCUGUUACCUAAUGGCGAGUUCAAAAAUUGGGUUAAAAUAAAGUUUCCGUAUUUAUUUUUGUAGAGAAUUGGUAAAUAGGAAAUGAUUAUUCUUACAUAUUAUAAAAUAGGUAUUUGGUGCUUUCAUACUCAACUAAAAGCAAAAGGAAUUGGUAGUUUGUUUUUUCUUUGAUUGAUUCUUGUCCUUGAUGGGAUGAUGAAGAUGCUUAUGUAUUCUUUGAGCAUCUAUACUACAUCUUGUUUAGGCAUGCUUUUGAUGAGCAUCUGAAUCAUUUUUCAUACUUUAUUAGAAGUAAGGCAUUUAAAUUGUUUUAAUUUUUACAUAAUUUUAUAUUCAGAAUCAGAGUCUCCAAUCGCUAUGCGGCGCCAAAUAUUAGCCAAGAUUCCUCUUCAGCUCCUAUCGGUGUUGUAGCUGAUGUUAAAACUGAGAGGAUUGUUGUACUUGGAGGCACUGGAUUUGUUGGUACUGCAAUUUGCAAGGCUGCAGUAUCCAAGGGCAUUGAAGUGGUUAGUGUAAGCAGGUCAGGGAGGCCUUCUUCUUCUGAUCCAUGGAUUGAUCAAGUCACAUGGACGGCAGGUAUUCUCAUGCAAUUAGAUGUGCCUCUUACUGUUUCAAUUUUUUUUUUUUUUUGGUUAAAACCCACAAAAGGGGCUUACGCAUUUAUUAAAAAAACGAUUACAAAGAGUCCUUAGAAGAGACUAGAGGCUCAACUAAAAUAAAAAGAAAAUACAAUAAAGAAAAAAAAUACAAAAAUAAAAUAAGAAUCUAAUGAGCCUUAAAUCUCUUUCUAGAUACAUAGAAAAAAAAACAAUAAAAACUAAAGUCUUUUAAAGCCAUCAAAAGAGCAAUCUUCAAAGUCUCAGUCUUAUGAAACAUAUCCAGCCAUCUCCCAUAUUUGAAAUCUUCAAUUUCCUGAAAAUCUGGAUAAGAAAACUCCAAGCAAGAUAAGUAACAAAUAAGCAUAAAGUUAAGAAAAAUUAUGUAAUUUUGAAAUUUAUUAUGGCUCAGGAAUAAAAAAUCUAUUAAGGAAGAAAGGAAUACCAAAGAUUUCAAAGUAAUUUUACAUGGGCAAGAUAAAACCUUAAACCGGAAAUGAUUGCAGAGGUCCAGACCAAUAAAUUCAAAGAAAUCCUUCCAGCCAAUAUAGAGAUACAGCCAACCCUCACAGUAACAAAGAAUAACCUCCAGCCAAACAAAAUAAUAACUCACAGUAAAACAACUACUAAACAACCAAACCAAAAAAUUGGAUAAUAAACAACUCAUUUCUAAAAUAACCAAAACAACAUUACCAAGUUGCCAAAUCAGCCACCUUCCAGCUCUCACAAAUAACCAGAAAUACCAACACAAUCAGGAAACCAACCAAAUGAAAAUCUUGCCCAUAAAAUUACAAAGAAAAAUGGCAAACAUAGCCUUCCAAAAAAGAUUAAAAAUUCUAAACAUCAUAGCCAAAUCAAAUACGUAUAUAAGGUAAACCUGUUUUAUCAAGAUUGAUUAUUCCCUUUAAUAAAAAGGGAAUAUUAUUAUUGUGAAAAGAAGUUAAUUGAUUCAAAUUGGCACUAGUUUUAGCUAAAAAGUCUGCAGCCGCAUUUCCUUCUCUCCAAAUAUGAGAGAUUUUAUAAUCAAGAUGAGAGAGCAUUCUCUUUAUAUCUUUAAUAAUAUAAAAAAUAUCAAAAUUACCCAUCUUAUUAGCAGAAAUUUCUUUUAUAACUAAAAGGGCAUCAAUUUCUAACCAGAUUUUAAAAUAACCAGAGGUAAGACAGAUUCUAAGGGCUUCAUAAAUAGCCAUCAGUUCUGCAACCAAAACAGAACAUUUAUUAAGAGGAGAAGCAAAGGCCACAACAAUAUUACCUUUAUCAUUUCUCAAGAUACCACCACACCCAUAAGGACCUUACCUAACAGAACCAUCAGUGUUAAUUUUAAUGCAGUGAAUAUCAGGUUUCUUCCAAAUAACAAAUUUAUAAGAAGAUUCAUGAAGCUCUUCAAAAAUAUUAGUAUUUAACUUGUUAGCAACAAAUUUAAAGCCACGAAAUUACUUAGAAUGAAUCAAAUUCACCUUAUAAAGGCUAUUAAUUUUUUCUCUGGUUCUAGCAAUAAUACGAUUAUGAUUCAUAGGAAUAUUCCUAUGUUUAGCAUCAUUUCUAUCCAUCCAUAAAAAUCAAAUAAGAGAGAUAGCAGUGACAAUUUUGAUAUGACCUCUAGUAGUAUUAUGAAGGAUAACAGUAAGGAAAUGAUUGAAAGAUAAAUGUCCACUAAAGUAAUUGGUAUUAAAAAAAUUAUCAAACCAAAUCCAAAUUCUAGCAGCAAUGGGACCAUUAAUAAAAAACAUGGUUUAUAUCUUCAAUAUGAUAGCAACAAUAGCAUUUAGAAGGAAGGUAAAAACCUUUUUUCCAAAGAACAACAUCAACAGGGAUGUAACCUUUCAGUAUUCUCCAAACAAGAAUAGAAAAGGAUGUAGGAAUAUUAUUACUCCAUAUCAUAUUAAAAACCAUAGAAGUAUUUCUCUUGCUUCUAAUGAAAUCCCAAGCAACUUUAAAAACAAAAUUUCCUUUAUAAGACAAUUUAAAAAGAAUUUGAUCUUUUCUUUGACUAUCCAAAGAAAUAUCUUUAACUUUAUUACUAAUAAGCAGAGGAACCAAGUUAAGAAUAUUUUGCAUAUCCCAAGUGUUAUCAUGAUAAAAUUCAUGAACUUUAAUAGCAGAAAAAGAAAUAAUAGAAAUAAGGGAUUCAAUAGAGCCUUCAAAAAGCCAAUUAUCUUGCCAAAAGUAACAGUUUCCAGAAUUAAGACCCCAAGCAAUAAGAGGCUCCAUAAUAUUUUUUAUUUGAUAAAGUCUUUUCCAAAUUAAAGAGUUCACCAUGCCUGUAGUAACAACAUAAGGGAUGUUUACCUUUGCAAUACUUAUAAUUCAUAAAAGAUGCCCAAAGACUUUCAUUUUUCCUAAAAUUCCACCACAUUUUCAUAGAAGAAACAAUAAUAGAAUCAGAGAUAGAUUUGCAACCAAGGCCUCCUUCCUUUAAAGGACCACAAAGUUUACUCCAAGAGGUCCAAUACAUUCUAGUAAUAUUAUUACUAGAACCCCAAAAAAAAUUAUUGAGAAUUCUCUCUAAUCUUAACACAGUAUCAAUAUUAGGUUGAAUAACUUGGAAUAAAUGAAAAACUUAUCAAAAUAUCUCAUCCACCUUUAUUGAAUAUCAUCUUCUAAUAAAAAUAUAUUUUUAUCUUCAUCUUUAACGCAUUUCACUUGAACUACAUUUUUACUUAUCAUAUCUCUUUGCUUGGCUAACUUAUACAUAUAUUUUUUGUCUUCCUUAGUAUCUAAU